GUUGUAAGUGAGGAUGCUGCUGGAAUCAUAACAGCUGGACGUGCCAAACGAACAUCUGAAUCAGGAAGAAACGGUGACAGGUUUAGGCAGUUAAGGGAAGAUGAGAAGAAGAAUAAGUUAAGCAAGGCAGCUCGAUCAGAAGAGAUUCAAACUUUGGCUUCUGAGUCUGAUAAUGAGGAUGGGUAUGAUAGGGAGACAAUUGAGAAGGGUGAGGACAGUCUAGAAGAGGCAUAUGCAUCAAGUGCAGACAAAGACAUCCCAGCCUAUAAUCGACAAAAGAGAAGCAAACGAUCAAAGAGGAAACGUGCAGUAUGAAAGAUUAUAUACUGAUAUAUUUGUAGGUAAUUUUGAGCCGUGUAUAUCUCACACAUUGUGAAGUAGUUAAAAACAUAGUGACCA
rnacentral:misc_RNA from 1 species